CGUCUCGGCGAGUCACGAUGAUGGCGGCUACCAUCCUGUGGUGAGCUAGGGGAUUCUCUGCUUGCCUCGCAACGUCCCUCGCGCCUCCUGCAGAUUCCGUGGCCGGUGCCGGGCGUGAGAAGAAACACCGUGGCCCCAAAAGGCCGCAGUCGCGGAGAAAGCGGCGCAGCUCGGGGCCCAGGCUGGCGGACAGGCCACACCGCUGGGCGAAUGUGACAAGCCCCCACCCCCACCGCCUUCCUCCCCAGAGCGCGAGGAGCGCAGGCGACCCCGGGCCCCGCCAGGCCACAGAUCCCGCCCAGCGGCCACCAGCCGGCGCAGGCCCAGCAGCAGAGCUGCCGGCACCACCAUGCAGGUCACGCUGAAGACCCUCCAGCAGCAGACCUUCAAGAGAGACAUCGAGCCAGAGGAGACGGUGAAAGUACUGAAAGAGAAGAUUGAAUCUGAAAGGGGGAAAGAUGGCUUUCCGGUAGCAGGUCAAAAAUUAAUUUAUGCAGGCAAAAUCCUCAAUGAUGAUACUGCUCUAAAAGAAUAUAAAAUUGAUGAGAAAAACUUUGUGGUGGUUAUGAUGACAAAACCCAAAGCAGUAUCAACACCAGCACCAGCUGCAACUCAGCAAUCAAAUCCUGUCACUACCACACCAGUUACUUCCUCCACAGCAACAACUGUGGCUCAGGCCCCAACCCCUGCCCCGGCUCCUGCGUCUACUCCUGCAUCCAUUACUCCAGCGUCAAAGACAUCUGCCGAACCUGCACCUGCUAGUACAACUAAACAAGAGAAACCUGCAGAAAAGCCAGCAGAGAGACCAGUAGAUACCAGCCCAACAACAACUGAUAGUACUUCAGGGGAUUCCUCUGGGUCAAACCUUUUUGAAGAUGCAACAAGUGCACUUGUGACACGUCAGUCUUAGGAGAAUGUGCAAGUAAUUGCAGCCCCGAGAGCCAGUUUCAACAACCCUGACAGAGCAGUGGAAUAUCUUUUAAUGGGAAUCCCUGGAGAUAGAGAAAGUCAGGCUGUGGUUAACCCCCCUCAGGCGGCUAGCAUUGGGACUCCUCAGUGUUCAGCAGUGGCGGGGCAACAGCAACAACUACAAGUUCUGGAGGAAAUCCCCUUGAAUUUUUGCAGCAUCAGCCUCAAUUUCAACAGAUGAGACAAAUUAUUCAACAAAAUCCUUCCCUGCUUCCAGCAUUGCUACAACAGAUAGGCAGAGAAUCCUCAGUUACUGCAGCAAAUUAGCCAACAGCAGGAGCAUUUAUUCAGAUGUUAACUGAACCAGUUCAAGAAGCUGGUGGUCAGGGAGGAGGUGGAGGAGAAGGUGGCAGCGGAGGAAUUGCAGAAGUUGGAAGUGGUCAUAUGAACUACAUUCAAGUUAUGCCUCAGGAGAAAGAAGCUAUAGAAAGGUUAAAGGCAUUAGGAUUUCCUGAAGGACUUAUGAUACAAGCAUAUUUUGCUUGUGAGAAGAAUGAGAAUUUAGCUGCCAAUUUUCUUCUACAGCAGAACUUUGAUGAAGAUUGAAAGGAACUUUUCUAUCUCACAUACCACACUAGUGCAUUACACUAAUUCACUGGAUUGUCUGGGAUGACUUGGGCUCAUAUCCACAAUACUUGGUAUAAGGUAGUAGAAUGUCAAGGGUGGGGAGGGAGGGAUCUAGGACAUAGGGCAGGGAUAACUACAGCGCAUGUCUGCUGCAAUUAGCAGAUGCCGCAACUCCACACAGUGUGUAAAAUACUAUACAACCAAAAAGCAGCUUUUGUAGGUCUUUAUUUCUUCUAUAAAACAGUAGGUAACUUUAACUUUUUUUAGGGUUCAUUCUUUUUAGUGUACUAGAUCCAGAAACUUAGUGUGAUGCCCUGCUUUAUAUUUCUUGGACUUAACAUUGGUUUCAGAAACAAUCUUUGCUACCUAGAAUUUACAGUCUGUUUCAAGGCAACACUGGAUAAUGGCUUUGUGAAAUUUUAAAAAAUUUUAUAGCACCUGUAAACAGAAAUGCCAGAUUAUCAAUGGUUACUUGUUGCUGCUUCACAAAUAAUUAUAAAAUUAAUGUUAAGGAAGCCCAUUCUUUCAUGUUAAAUACUUGGGGUGGGAGGGGAGAAAGGGAACCUUUUCUUAAGAUGAAAAUAAUUACUGCUAUUUUAAAUUUUCUUGAUCACUGAGGAGGGCCCUUCUAACAUGAUUUGAAAAGCUGUACCGGAAUAGGCAGAGCUAUUUUCCUGUUUACAUUUUUUUUGUUGGGGUUGGGGGGACAAAAUUUGUAGGUGUGUCUAAUUACUGUUCACAUCAUUUUUAUAUUGCAGUAAAAAGUUAAAAAAAAAAACAAAUGCAAUACAUGGAUCUUGCAUGGAUACAUUGGAUGAUAAUGAAUUGAUGGUGUUAAUUUUCUUAGCUGUAAUAACAAAUGGUUUGGCAAAAGAAAUUUAUACUUAUUACAGCAUACAUAGGUACCUAUACAUAUGUAAAGAGAGUUGGGAUAACAGUGUGGCAAGGUGAGAGUGUACAUGUGUCUACUGUAGUAUUUUUCAACUUUUCUAUAGGUUUGACAUUUUUCUUUCUUUUUUUUUUUUUUUGUAGAGACAGAGUCUCACUGUACCGCCCUUGGGUAGAGUGCCGUGGCGUCACAGGCUCACAGCAACCUCUAACUCUUGGGCUUACGCGAUUCUCUUGCCUCAGCCUCCCGAGCAGCUGGGACUACAGGCGCCCGCCACAAC